AUUGAACGCUGGCGGCACGCCUAACACAUGCAAGUCGAGCGGCAGCAUGCUUAGUAGCAAUACUAAGUGAUGGCGAGCGGCGGACGGGUGAGGAACACGUAGGAACCUGCCCAAGAGAGGGGGAUAACCAAGGGAAACUUUAGCUAAUACCGCAUAAUCUCUGAGGAGAAAAGCUGCCCGCAGGGGUAGCGCUUUUGGAGGGGCCUGCGUCCGAUUAGCUAGUUGGUGAGGUAAUGGCUCACCAAGGCGAUGAUCGGUAACUGGUCUGAGAGGACGACCAGUCACACUGGGACUGAGACACGGCCCAGACUCCUACGGGAGGCAGCAGUGGGGAAUCUUGGACAAUGGGGGCAACCCUGAUCCAGCGAUGCCGCGUGGGUGAAGAAGGCCUUCGGGUUGUAAAGCCCUUUAGGCUGGGAAGAAGUGUGCGGGGUGAAUAAUCCUGUACAUUGACGGUACCAGCAGAAUAAGCACCGGCAAACUCUGUGCCAGCCGCCGCAGUAA
rnacentral:rRNA from 1 species